rnacentral:rRNA from 1 species
UACGUAGGGGGCAAGCGUUGUCCGGAAUCAUUGGGCGUAAAGCGCGUGUAGGCGGCUGACUAAGUCCGCUCUGAAAGCCCGGGGCUCAACCCCGGGAGGCGGGUGGAUACUGGUCAGCUCGAGUCCGGAAGAGGAGUGUGGAAUUCCUGGUGUAGCGGUGAAAUGCGCAGAUAUCAGGAGGAACACCGGUGGCGAAGGCGCCACUCUGGGCCGGUACUGACGCUGAGGAGCGAAAGCGUGGGUAGCAAACAGG